GACGAACGCUGGCGGCGUGCUUAACACAUGCAAGUCGAACGGAAAGGCCCUGCUUUUGUGGGGUGCUCGAGUGGCGAACGGGUGAGUAACACGUGAGUAACCUGCCCUUGACUUUGGGAUAACUUCAGGAAACUGGGGCUAAUACCGGAUAGGAGCUCCUGCUGCAUGGUGGGGGUUGGAAAGUUUCGGCGGUUGGGGAUGGACUCGCGGCUUAUCAGCUUGUUGGUGGGGUAGUGGCUUACCAAGGCUUUGACGGGUAGCCGGCCUGAGAGGGUGACCGGCCCCACUGGAGCUGAGACACGGGCCAGAGUCAUAAGGGAGGCAGGAGUAGGGAAGCGUGGGCACUGGGCGGAAGCCUGACGGAGGAACGCCGCGUGAGUGAUGACGGUCGUCGGAUCGUAAAAGUGUGUUAUUAGGGAAGAAAAUAUGUGUAAGUAAAUGUGCACAUCUUGACGGUACAUAAUAAGAAAGCCACGGCUCGCUACGUC
rnacentral:rRNA from 1 species